rnacentral:rRNA from 1 species
CCUACGGGAGGCAGCAGUGGGGAAUAUUGCGCAAUGGGCGAAAGCCUGACGCAGCGACGCCGCGUGAGGGAUGAAGGUCUUCGGAUCGUAAACCUCCGUCAGCAGGGGAGAACGGUCACUGUGCUAAUCAGCAGUGAAUUGACGGUACCUGCAAAGGAAGCACCGGCUAACGCCGGCCCAGCAGCCGCGGUAAUACGGAGGGUGCGAGCGUUAAUCGGAAUUACUGGGCGUAAAGCGCGCGUAGGCGGUAUGUCAAGUCACGGGUGAAAUCCCCGCGCUCAACGUGGGAACGGCCUUUGAAACUGGCAGACUGGAGUGUGUGAGAGGAUAGUGGAAU